GGAUUCGUAGAAGUUGGAAGGAUUCGGUGAGAUUUUGAGUCGAAUCGAUACUUGAAUUUGUCAUUGAGUUCCAAUUUAUUUUUAUAGGGCCAUAGAGAACAUAGAUUGGUUCAUGUCAAAUUUUGGGGAUUUUUCGGAUCCGUUUAAUAAUUUUUAUUUAUUAAUUGCAAGUAUAUGAAUUUAAUAGAUAUAAAUUCAAUAUGAG
rnacentral:lncRNA from 1 species